AAUUGAGAGUUUGAUCCUGGCUCAGGAUGAACGCUGGCGGUGUGCCUAAUACAUGCAAGUCGAUCGGGCGUAGCAAUACGUCAGAGGCGUACGGGUGAGUAACACGUAGGUAACCUACCUUUAAGACUGGGAUACCCAGACGAAAGUUUGGCUAAUACCGGAUAACAACAUUUGAGACAUCUCUUUUGUUUGAAAGGCGCUGCAAGGCGCCACUUUUAGAUGGACCUGCGUCGCAUUAGCUAGUUGGUGAGAUAAAAGCCCACCAAGGCUGGGAUGCGUAGCCGAUCUGAGAGGAUGACCGGCCACAAUGGGACUGAGACACGGCCCAUACUCCUACGGGAGGCAGCAGUAGGGAGUUUUCGGCAAUGGGGGAAACCCUGACCGAGCAACACCGCGUGAGUGAUGAAGGUCUUCGGAUCGUAAAGCUCUGUUACGAGGGACGAAUGAUCGCUUUAGGAAAUGAGAGCGGUUUGACGGUACCUCGCCAGAAAGCGACGGCUAACUACGUGCCAGCAGCCGCGGUAAUACGUAGGUCGCAAGCGUUAUCCGGAAUUAUUGGGCGUAAAGAGUGAGCAGGCGGCAUGGUAAGUCUGGAGUGAAAGCGUGGGGCUUAACCCCAUACAGCUUUGGAUACUACCAAGCUAGAGUACGUCAGAGGUUAACAGAACUCCAUGUGUAGCGGUGAAAUGCGUAGAUAUAUGGAAGAAUACCAGUGGCGAAGGCGGUUAACCAGGACGAUACUGACGCUCAGUCACGAAAGCGUGGGGAGCAAAUAGGAUUAGAUACCCUAGUAGUCCACGCCGUAAACGAUGAUGACUAACUAUAGCCGUGAGGCUGUGGUGAAGCUAACGCAUUAAGUCAUCCGCCUGGGGAGUACGGUCGCAAGACUGAAACUUAAAGGAAUUGACGGGACCCCGCACAAGUAGUGGAGCAUGGGAGCAUGUGGUUUAAUUCGACGCUACGCGGAAAACCUUACCAGGGCUUGACAUAGGACUUACAAAAGUAGAGAUACAAAAUAACUAUUGUCCAUACAGGUGGUGCAUGGUUGUCGUCAGCUCGUGUCGUGAGAUGUUGGGUUAAGUCCCGCAACGAGCGCAACCCUCGUCAUUAGUUACUAACAUUCAGUUGAGGACUCUAAUGAGACUGCCGAUGUAAGUCGGAGGAAGGUGGGGAUGACGUCAAAUCAGCAUGCCCCUUAUGUCCUGGGCGACACACGUGCUACAAUGGCCGGUACAAAGAGAUGCAAUAUCGCGAGAUGGAGCAAAUCCCAUAAAGCCGGUCUCAGUUCAGACUGGAGGCUGCAAUUCGCCUCCACGAAGGCGGAAUUACUAGUAAUCGCGAAUCAGCAUGUCGCGGUGAAUACGUUCCCGGGGUUUGUACACACCGCCCGUCAAACCAUGAGAGCUGGUAAUACUUGAAGCCGUUUUCUUAACCGCAAGGAGAGAGGCGUCUAGGGUAGGAUCGGUGAUUGGGGUUAAGUCGUAACAAGGUAUCCCUACGAGAACGUGGGGAUGGAUCACCUCCUU
rnacentral:rRNA from 1 species